CAAGGGAAAGAUAAAAUAGAACUCUGUGAAGGGAGUCAAAAGGCGUGAAAUUGUUGCGAGAGAAGCGAUUCAAGUCAGCGUAGCUAGGCCCAUCAAGCUUCAUGCUUUGGACUAGCUUUGCCAGCGGUCUUGUCCCAGAGACUUGACUUUGUAUGCCCAACGUGGUCUACACAGGCAGCCUCUCUCUCUUGGGGGGCCAGUGGCAUGGCUGGUGGAAUGGCUUUCAAUCGACCCGUCUUGAAACACGGACCAAGGAGUCUAACAUGUAUGCGAGUAUAAGGGUGGCAAACCCGUAUGCGCAAUGAAAGUGACAUUCGUUGAUUGAGAAUGGCCUGAUGACCAGACAAGCAAUAUAUGUCCCUCGCACGGCCAUUGCCCAAGUUCCGUGGUAGAAUCCAUCAACAUGGAGUUGGAGCAUACAUGAUAGGACCCGAAAGAUGGUGAACUAUGCCUGGACAAAGCGAAGCCAAAGGAAACUCUGGUGGAGGCUUGUAGCGAUUCUGACGUGCAAAUCGAUCGUCUGAUCUGGGUAUAGGGGCGAAAGACUAAUCGAACCAUCUCAUAGCUGGUUCCUGCCGAAGUUUCCCUCAGGAUAGCAGAGACCUAGUGGAAGUUGCAUGUGGUAAAGCGAAUGAUUAUUGAUCCUGGGGCUCAAAUGGGCCUCAGUCUAUUCUCAAACUGUGAAUGCGUGCGGUUGGACUGUGCUUAGCAAUAGAAGCCCUGCCAGCAAUGCUUCAGUCUCUAGUGGGCCGUUUCUGGUAAGCAGAACUGGCGAUGCGGGAUGAACCGAAAGUGAGGUUA
rnacentral:rRNA from 1 species